rnacentral:rRNA from 1 species
GUUUAACGGCCGCGGUAUCCUGACCGUGCAAAGGUAGCAUAAUCACUUGUUCUCUAAAUAAGGACUUGUAUGAAUGGCCACACGAGGGUUUUACUGUCUCUUACUUCCAAUCAGUGAAAUUGACCUCCCCGUGAAGAGGCGGGAAUAAAUUAAUAAGACGAGAAGACCCUAUGGAGCUUUAACUAACCAAUCCAAAGAAAACAGACUAAAUAACUCAGGAAAUAACAACGUCUUCUUAUGAUUUGGCAGUUUCGGUUGGGGUGACCUCGGAGAAUAAAAAAUCCUCCGAACGAUUUUAAAGACUAGACCUACAAGUCAAAUCACUCAAUCGCUCAUUGAUCCAAAAACUUGAUCAACGGAACAAGUUACCCUAGGGAUAACAGCGCAAUCCUAUUCAAGAGUCCAUAUCGACAAUAGGGUUUACGACCUCGAUGUUGGAUCAGGACACCCAGAUGGUGCAACCGCUAUCAAA